GAUGAACGCUAGCGACAGGCUUAACACAUGCAAGUCGAGGGGCAGCAUAAAAGUAGCAAUACUUUGGUGGCGACCGGCGCACGGGUGAGUAACGCGUAUGCAACCUACCUAUCAGAGGGGGAUAACCCGGCGAAAGUCGGACUAAUACCGCAUAAAACAGGGGCACCGCAUGGUGAUAUUUGUUAAAAAUUUAUUGCUGAUAGAUGGGCAUGCGUUCCAUUAGGUAGUUGGAGAGGUAACGGCUCACCAAGCCCACGAUGGAUAGGGGAACUGAGAGGUUGGUCCCCCACACUGGUACUGAGACACGGACCAGACUCCUACGGGAGGCAGCAGUGAGGAAUAUUGGUCAAUGGGCGAGAGCCUGAACCAGCCAAGUCGCGUGAAGGAAGAAGGAUCUAUGGUUCGUAAACUUCUUUUGCAGGGGAAUAAAGUGCAGGACGUGUCCUGUUUUGUAUGUACCCUGAGAAUAAGGAUCGGCUAACUCCGUGCCAGCAGCCGCGGU
rnacentral:rRNA from 1 species